UAACUCCGUCUGAGUAGCUAUUAGCCACAGGCUCAGUAUCUAGGCUUGCUAUAAGGCACUGUGCCGAAGUCGUCGGUUGACAUGUAGUCAAGAAAGGUAACGAGGAUGAAAGGGACUGGCUGUCCCGCCCUGAACGAGAUUGAGCUCCGAAAUUUGGUUUCUGUUGGAAUCUGCCCAAGGUGUUUGCAUGCUGGAAGGCAAUGCUUGCUGACGCGUUUUUGGCGAGCGGCAGUGGGAGUCCCGGAGUCGAAGAUCC
rnacentral:ncRNA from 1 species